GGCCCGUUAGUCAAAGUGGUUAAGACACCGCCCUUUCACGGCGGUAGUGUGAGUUCGAGUCUCGCACGGGUCACCA
rnacentral:tRNA from 1 species